GCCUAUCUCUGCACCUAUAACUUUAAAUGAUUUUUCUGUGAAUCUGUCAUAUCAGUUUAAUUCAUAUACCAGCCAGAGAAGCUGAGAGUGUAGCAAUACACAAAUUAAGAUACAAAUUAACAUUUAUGAAUUUAAAUGUUAAUUUUCCUCCCUGAGCAAGACACAAAUUAACAUUUAUGGAUUUAAAAUAAAACGGAAGCAGAAUAAAACCUAAAUCAUUCCCAGCCACUGGCUGCAUGGGCCCAGCCGCCCUUCCUGGGAAGCACUCCCUGAAUCCCGUCCUGUGGAGCUGGACCUUCCUAGCGAGUUCUUCUCUCCCACCCUUCUUUGGGGAGCAUCUACAAGGAGGGCUUUCCCCUAGGUGCUGCUGCCUCCCCAUCUGAGGACUUCACUGCUUUGCAGGUAGGCCCCAGUGGAAGACCCUCAGGAGCAGUGUCCCACAGGGAGCCCAACGGUAGCUGUCUUCGGUGGCAACUCACUUCUUUCUGUGUUGACAGUGUGUUCUGCGCCUUUCUAGCAGGGACUCCUAAGGUCCACUUGCACACCAGGUGGCAUCAGCCCUCUUGAGGUGUUUGUCCACCCCCAUCCUUUUUCCCUGUUGCAGUAGUAGGCAGGUACUAGAGAGGAGCAGAGCCUGUAGGGGACAUGGAAGAGAUUUAUAUAAAGAAUUGACUCACACAGUUUGGGAGCAGGAAGUCCACGAUCUGCCCUCUGCGCCUGGAGUCAGAGAAGAGCCUGCAGUUCAAAGGCCAGAGAGCCAAAGAGCCACACCCAAGGGACAGAGGACGUGGAGCAGGGGCUGAGUGAGUUCAGUCCUCCUCCCCUUUCUGCUUCCUUCAGGCCCUCGCACGCACACUGGCUGACGCAUGCACGCACACUGGGCAGAGUGGGCUGCCUUCCCCCAGUGCCAACGCCAGGAGAACCUCCUCAGAAGCAUGCUCACGGUCACAUCCAGAAAUAACAUUUAACCAGCGGUCUGGGCCCCAGGGCCCAGUCAACCUGAUCUAUGAAAGUAGCCGUUGCGAGUCCACCCCCCAACUUGACCAACUUGACACCCAGGUUGGUCUCCCUAAGCCACACUUAACCUCCCAAUAAAGACAAUAACAAGGCUACAAUUCCGCCAGACCUGACAGAACUAUCAGAACUGUCUGCACACAACCAAAAAAUGUCCGGAAGAGGAGAUGAAGUCCCAGCCCCAUGACCACUUCUCCUUGACAUUCCCCAGCUUAAGUACCAUGAUGAGAAAUCAGUGAUACACAGGAGAGUGAUCUGAAGUCAGUAUACCUUAUGUUACAUGAAAAGGGAAUGAGAAAGUGCAUCUGAGAAAUCACACAUACACGCACGCAAAAUGUAUUCAGAACAAACUAAGAACAACCAAUCGUCUGGGUCCUCCUUUCUGUAACUGGCCACAUGGUGGGAGCUGGAAUUUAUGGCUACCUUGCCCUGCCCCUCCUGCUAUCCCUUUGUCUUCAGCACGCCGCUUACCUGGAUGGGUCACCUACACCUUAAUCACUGAAGGGCCUGGGACAUCAGAAUCGUGCCCAGGUUGGGUGGUUACGGUUUUCCCUUGACCUGAGUCACAGCAUGGGGGAACUAAGAAAUGCCCCAGGGACUCAUGCGCCAGACACCUGCUCCUUACUUCCACAGUGGAGCAGCAGUGUAGCCUCUCUGUGGUAGUCAGGGUCGACCAGCCCGACCACUACCGCAAUUCUCUUUGCCAGUUGUCUCACAGGCAUGGGGAGUCCACAACGGCCAGUGGCAGUCUUCAAUUCUGGUCUAAUGGAAUCCUUAUUGUGUCUCCUGGUGGAAGCACUUCUCCCUCGGAGUGAAGCCCUCUACGUCAGCAGAGAAUAAACUCACGUGAGCAGGAAGCAAACAUUUCACUAGUGGGCCAUUGGACAUAAUAGUGACUAAUGCCACUCCCGUUUCCACCCCUUGAUUCCUGGUCCUGUGAAUCCCAGCAAGGGGAGAAACAGCGCUAUGUAGGGGACACUGAUCCAGGGCACACACAGCCUUGUGGGGAACCUUGGCCCUGCUCCGCAAGGUUGUACCUGCCAGAGGCCUCCACAACUGGGUCUUCGAAGGCCGUCCACCAUCCUAUCAAGGGCUGCCCAGGAUGGUGGGGAACAUUGUAAGGCCAGUGAGUUCUAUGAGCCAGGCUCCAUGGCUGCACUUCUUUGGCUGAGAAGUGAUUUCCUUGGGCAGAAGCAAUGCCAUAUGGAAGAUCAUGGCUGUAGGAAAGACAUUCUGCAGAUCCCCAGAGGGUGUCUCCAGCAGAAGCACUGUGUGCAGGCAAGGCAGAUUGCCUGUCCCAGUAAGAACAAACGCCGUCCCUUCCACGAUGGAAUCCAUCCAAUGUAACCAUCCUGCCACUGGGUAACCGGCAGAUCGCUCUGGAAAUGGUGCCAUAUCAGGGACUCUAUCUCUGCUGCUGGCAGGUGGAUGCUUAUUGGUGACUAUAACCAAGUCACCAUUGGUGAGUGGAAGUCCAUAUUGCUGAGCCCAUGUAUAACCCCCAUCCCUGCCACCAUGACCACUUUGUUCAUGAGCCCCUUGGCAGGAACAGGGGUGUCUGGGGAGGAGGCUAACUGGUAUCUACAGGAUGGGUUAUCCUAAUCCACUUGGUUAUUUAAGGUCAGUCACAUAUCUCUUCCCCAAAUCGGUUUGUCGACAAUUUUUCAAUUCAAGUCCCUCCCCACCCUGCCAAACCACUGCCUGUAGCCCGCCAGUGGGUAUAGAACCUCAUGUCUGGACAUCUCUGAGGGGUGCACAGCCAGGCGCACUGCUCAGCCUGCGGCCCUCAGGGAGGAUUUCUU
rnacentral:lncRNA from 1 species